AAAACUAGAGGGACCUGGCACCCAGACCACUUCAUUGAGUUGAUGUGAUCUGAGUGUCUGUAGUGGUCCUUUAAGUGUAUGUGUAUCUGCAUGCACUGGCGUACAUACUGCGGUCACAGGGGUCGCAGCCCUGCGAUCCCUGUGACCAUGUGCCCGCCGCCAUGUGUUGUGACCCGGGCCCACGCAGAGUAAGUUUUCGUACCGGGAUGCCCCAUGGGUUGUGUGUACGUUACUGCAAGAGGGAGUGGGGUAAACUUACACAAAAAGGUAAGGAUAGUAUUAGACUAGUGACAGUUGCAGAAGAG